rnacentral:rRNA from 1 species
GACGAACGCUGGCGGCGUGCUUAACACAUGCAAGUCGAACGGAAAGGCCCUGCUUUUGUGGGGUGCUCGAGUGGCGAACGGGUGAGUAACACGUGAGUAACCUGCCCUUGACCUUGGGAUAACUUCAGGAAACUGGGGCUAAUACCGGAUAGGAGCUCCUGCUGCAUGGUGGGGGUUGGAAAGUUUCGGCGGUUGGGGAUGGACUCGCGGCUUAUCAGCUUGUUGGUGGGGUAGUGGCUUACCAAGGCUUUGACGGGUAGCCGGCCUGAGAGGGUGACCGGCCACAUUGUGACUGAGAUACGGCCCAGACUCCUACGGGAGGCAGCAGUGGGGAAUAUUGCACAAUGGGCGGAAGCCUGAUGCAGCAACGCCGCGUGCGGGAUGACGGCCUUCGGGUUGUAAACCGCUUUCGCCUGUGACGAAGCGUGAGUGACGGUAAUGGGUAAAGAAGCACCGGCUAACUACGUG